UUUUUUGUCAAAAUCAGUAAUUCAACCAGGUGUGAUGACACACGCUGAAAUCUCAGCUACUCAAGAGGUUGAGGCAGGAAAAUUGAGUGUUAAAGAAAGCCCCAGCAGCCAGUUCAGUUUGAGUUACAGUGUUGGCGCUUUGUGUUGCAGUUUGGGCACUUGUCUCUAAAAGGUUCGCAGUCACUGCCUUUGAUCUCUCCUUCAUUGUCCCAUGCCGUACUUACUGUGUCCAAAUCCACCCCAGCCCCUUCUUUGCCAGUACUGGAGAUUGAACCUAGGAGCUUUGCAAUGAGCUACAGUUCCAACCCUUUUUUAAAUUUUUUUUUUGUUUGUUUUGGUUUUUGAGACAGAGUCUUGCUAUGUAGUUUAGGCUGGACUUGUAUCCUAGACUGGCCUUGAACCUGCAGCAAUCCUCUUGCCUCAGCCUCCCAAGUACUAGAAAUACAGGCAUGUAUCACCAUUCCCAGCUUCCCAAUCAUUUAAAAAGAUUUUUAUUAGGCAGGAUCUCUCACUAAGCCUGCUAAAUUAUUUAUACUGGGCUCAAAAUUAUGAUCCUCAAAAAAAUUGUGAUCCUCCUGUCUCAGCCUCCCGGUAUUCUGGAAUUACAUGUGUGUACCACAAUACCUGGCAGCCUUUUUUUUUUUUUUCCUUUAACAUAUUUUACUUUUCAACAGCAUUUUGCAAAGAUGCCUUGAACUUGAGAUCCUUCUUCCUCAGCCUCACGUGUGCCACCAUGCCUGCCCGACAGCUCCUUAUUCCUAAGAUCCCUGCUGAAGUAUGUAGGUAUGGGGUUCAGGGUGUCUGCAAGCUGUUUCCAAAUGGUGUAUGAGUUUGUUUUGCUUCACUGUAAUGACUUACUUGAAGCUGGGUACUUUAUAAAGAAAUGUUUAUGUAGGUGAUUGUUUUGGAGGCUUAAAUUCCAAGCAGCACUGUGCCACCUCUAGAAAGCACCUCCUUGGCUAUGUGACAUCCUGACAGAAGGUAUCUUGGUGGGAGCAGGGAAAGGUGAGCUCAGAUGGUAAGACACAGCACAGAGAGGCUCUUUCUUUCAAGAGCUACUCCAGUCCCUUCUGGGGACAGCACUCCUAGGGCCUAACACACUCCCACUAUUCCCUACCUUUUUUGUUUGGGUUGUUGUCUUUUUGAGCCAGGGUCUCACUAUGCAGUUCAGGCUGGGCUUGAACUCACUUUGUGGCCCAGGCUGGCCUCGAGCUCAUGCCAAUCUUCCUAUCUCAGCCUGCUGAGUGCUGGGUGCCCCCCCACCCCCACUUGGCUAGCACCUCCCAUGAGACGAGUCUGAGGCUUGGGGAGGCAGGUAACUUGCCAGUGACAGCACACCUACACUAGCAUCCAGGUGGUCUGACCUCCCCAUCCUGGGUUCCAACCCAGGAUUUCAUGGUAAAAGUCAGGGAUUUAGCUCAGCAGCACAAGCACCUGCCUGGCAAGCAGGAGAUAGUGAGUUCAACGCCUUGGCACCAAAAAAAAAAAAAAAAAGAAAGAAAGAAAGAAAAGAAAAGAGAAGAAAAGAGAAGAGAAAAGAAAAGAAAAGAAAAGAGUGGAAAAGAAUUUCAUGGUAAACCGCCAAGUCCCAUUCCCAACCAGAAGGUGGUGCUCUGCCUCUUCUCCAUACUUAGGUUUCCUUAGCUUUAGGCCGUGCUCAGAGCCUUAGGGCACAGUCAUCAAGCCCCCAAGGCUUGGCCUGAUCUCAGAGCUCAAACCUCACUAUCCUUACCCAUCUACCUCAGCCUGGAAUCCUGGAUCCUUGCAGCUAAGAACACGUGAUUUCCCUCCCAGGCCUGACCUCCACCUCCUCCCUCACCCUCUCCAUAUUCGGGCCCUCUGCUGCAUUGUCUAUGGGUUCCGGGAUACCCCAGCUUCUAGCCCUCAUCCCGAACCACUGAAACCCAAGAGGACAGACCCACAUCAGGAGGCCACCAGCCUACAAAGUUGUCUUUAUUGGUUUCUUGCUGCUUCACAGAGCAUCCUGGUCUCUCCCAGGAAUGUGGCUUUUGAGGAG